rnacentral:rRNA from 1 species
CCUACGGGAGGCAGCAGUGGGGAAUCUUAGACAAUGGGGGAAACCCUGAUCUAGCCAUGCCGCGUGAUCGAUGAAGGCCUUAGGGUUGUAAAGACCUUUCAGUGGGGAAGAUAAUGACGGUACCCACAGAAGAAGCCCCGGCUAACUCCGUGCCAGCAGCCGCGGUAAU